rnacentral:rRNA from 1 species
UACGUAGGGUGCGAGCGUUGUCCGGAAUUACUGGGCGUAAAGAGCUCGUAGGUGGUUUGUCGCGUUGUUCGUGAAAACUCACAGCUUAACUGUGGGCGUGCGGGCGAUACGGGCAGACUGGAGUACUGCAGGGGAGACUGGAAUUCCUGGUGUAGCGGUGGAAUGCGCAGAUAUCAGGAGGAACACCGGUGGCGAAGGCGGGGUCUCUGGGCAGUAACUGACGCUGGAGGAGCGAAAAGCGUGGGGAGCGAACAGG